ACAUCUCUAGGCAUAGUAUCAAACACUCUGAUACGAGAUCCCAAAAUUUGUCUCUUUGCCAAUGUUCGAACGUCUUCAGAAAAUCCCGCAAGUUUACACACUGCAGAAAACUCUCGAAACAGAUUAUGGAUAUGGCAAUUCACACAGAGUUAGAUUAUGAGACGACAACUCGUAGUCUUCCAUCUACACCCAUACAAAAUGCCAUCGGCAGCAACACGCCUUAUAACC
rnacentral:lncRNA from 1 species